rnacentral:tRNA from 1 species
GCCUCCGUAGUUCAAGGGAUAGAAUAGCGCUCUGUCGAAGCGUAAGAUGCGGGUUCGAAUCCCGCCGGGGGCA